UUGUGUGUGUAAAUGUUAAUAUAGUUAAUUAGAAUAGCAAGUAUAAAUGUUACUAUAAACCGGCUGCGGGAUACACAUCCAAGAGUACUGAAAGCCCUGAAAUCAUAAAUCAUACGGUCAAAUCUAAUGGGAAAUUUAGGGUCAGGUCUGGGGUAUGGGGAUACUUUUGUUUAUUCAAGGAAGCCUGGUUAGUGUAUGGCAGAGUUCGAGAGUUUUCUGUGUGUUUCUGAGUCAGUUGAAUUUGGGCUUAAGACCAGAGCGUUUGUUGUUUGGAAGGAGGUGCCAUCAGAAUUUCUGAUCGUCGGCCACAUUGUGGAGGCAUCUAGAGUGUUGUGUUUAUAGAAGGAAUCUAAAUGGGAUCCCAUUUUUGUUGGUGUAAGAAUUACGAUGAAGAAAGUUGAUGGAAAAGGGGAUAGAAGAUAGAAGUUUAAUAAGACGUAUGAUGCAUACUAGAACUAGUUGAAUAUUGGCCAUCAGUUUCAUAAAGACAACUACAAAUAAAUUAUACAGAGAAACGCACUGACAGGAAGGAAGCAUUCAUAUCAUAGUAAACCUCAAAAAGUGUAGCAGUGAUGUGCACUGUGUAGUUCCGAUUGGGUAACUGGAAAGAACUGGACCUGAGAACUGAAUAUAUAUUUAUGACGUUCACAGCGGAGCACAGCAAGAACAUUUGUUUUUACCAUUUGACAUUCGAUCAUCAUGGAUAAUCUAAACUGAAAUUUCUUAUUUGUUUUUAAAUGUGCAUGCUUUUAGAAUAGAAAUUAAAGCAUGAAAAUUAAAUAGAUAAAUAGAUAAAUAAACUUUGUAAUCCUC